rnacentral:rRNA from 1 species
AUCUUCCGCAAUGGACGAAAGUCUGACGGAGCAACGCCGCGUGAGUGAUGAAGGCUUUCGGGUCGUAAAACUCUGUUGUUAGGGAAGAACAAGUGCUAGUUGAAUAAGCUGGCACCUUGACGUUACCUAACCAGAAAGCCACGCCUAACUACGUGCCAGCAGCCGCGGUAAUACGUAGGUGGCAAGCGUUAACCGGAAUUAUUGGGCGUAAAGCGGGGGCAGGUGGUUUCUUAAGUCUGAUGUGAAAGCCCACGGCUCAACCGUGGAGGGUCAUUGGAAACUGGGAUACUUGAGUGCAGAAGAGGAAAGUGGAAUUCCAUGUGUAGCGGUGAAAUGCGUAGAGAUAUGGAGAAACACCAGUGGCGAAGGCGACUCUCUGGUCUGUAACUGACACUGAGGCGCGAAAGCGUGGGGAGCAAACAG